AUGCCGGUCAGACAGCAACAGGGUGUCCAGGGAGGACGGAGCAACGAGGAGGCAGGGCCAAGGCCGAGGAAUGACGCUCCGGCACUCACAACUUGCACUACUGUAGCCGCCGGAGGAGGGGAACCCGAUCCCCUCCUGGCCAGAGGCCGCCGGACCAAGCUGUCACCAGUUGCACAGAGAGCACCAGAAGAAACCCGAACACUGCCGGACCUGCCAAGCUGCCGCCACCGCCACUUGGGGCACACAGUCGCCGCCGCCCGAAAACCACCACACCGUAGUGCCCACAAUCCAAAAAGCAUCCAAGGCGACGACUUCAAGAAGCAAACGGAGCCAAGAGCACCGUCGCCGCCCAACAAAGUUCGAGCUUUCACCCGGGAGGCUAGGGGAAGGGGGGGUGGAGCAAAAGACCUAAAUGGCGCCUCCAAGAAGGGGAUCGGCGUCCAUGGACGUCGCCACCAUGGAUUUCUCCCGGUCAAGGCUCCACACCACCAACACCACAUCCAGCUCCAGGCACCGGAGAACCAAGUCGACCCGGACCAGAUCUGA
rnacentral:rRNA from 1 species